rnacentral:rRNA from 1 species
AUUGAACGCUGGCGGCAGGCCUAACACAUGCAAGUCGAACGAGUGGCGGACGGGUGAGUAAUGUCUGGGAAACUGCCUGAUGGAGGGGGAAAACUACUGGAAACGGUAGCUAAUACCGCAUACCAUCGGAUGUGCCCAGAUGGGAUUAGCUAGUAGGUGGGGUAAAGGCUCACCUAGGCGACGAUCCCUAGCUGGUAUGAGAGGUUGACCCGCCUCACUGGACCGGAGACACGGUCCAGACUCCUACGGCAGGCAGCAGUGGGGAAUAUUGCGCAAUGGGCGAAGUCCUGAUGCAGCCAUGCCGCGGGGUGGAAGAAGGCCUUCGGGUUGUAAAGUACUUUCAGCGGGGAGGCGUUACCCUCAGAAGAAGCACCGGCUAACUCCGUGCCAGCCGCCGCGGUAAUAC